AAACACUGGGAUUUGGUCUACCAGAUAUUAACCUCUGUGCUGUGUUAGUCCUGCUGCCCCAUAUCUGGAGGGACUGAGGACCAUUUCAUCACAGUGGAGCAGUGUGAACUGGAAGUUCCUACCCAGCUUUUACCCUCAAUCAACAAUGUCCAGAAGAUGUCCAUACCAGGA